CGAGAAUCUUCGGCAAUGGGCGCAAGCCUGACCGAGCGACGCCGCGUGGAGGACGAAGGCCUUCGGGUUGUAAACUCCUGUCGAGGGGAAGGAAGGGGCCGCGAGGCCCUUGACCGCUCCCUGGAGGAAGCACGGGCUAAGUUCGUGCCAGCAGCCGCGGUAAGACGAACCGUGCGAACGUUAUUCGGAAUCACUGGGCUUAAAGCGCGUGUAGGCGGGAGGGUGCGUCGGCCGCUGAAAUCCCCCGGCUCAACCGGGGAAGGGGCGCCGAUACGACCCCCCUGGAGCGACGUAGGGGGAACUGGAACUUCCGGUGGAGCGGUGAAAUGCAUUGAGAUCGGAAGGAACGCCCGUGGCGAAAGCGAGUUCCUGGACGUCGGCUGACGCUGAGACGCGAAAGCCAGGGGAGCGAAC
rnacentral:rRNA from 1 species